rnacentral:lncRNA from 1 species
GGAACAUAAUCAAGGUCACAGAGUUGGGAUUCAACCAGAAAAACUAUGAUCUUAGCCAAAUACUUUCAGCAACAUCAAUUAUAUUACACUAGCCCUCAACCCAGAUAUUUUUAGCAACAACUUAUGAAAUGGUGGGUUAGAGGAAAAGGACCUUUUAGUCUGCCUUCUACGGAAAUUAAAAUCUCAAAGCCUCCCUUUACCAUAUUAAGUUUUGACAUAUUUUGGAUAAUGAAACUGUUUUUACCCUCCCUUUACAAAGUCUGUGGGCAGAGUUUUAGCUGGAAUGAUAAAAAUGUAGCAUGGGGGAAAUUUCUUUAAUUUCCAUGUUUUACAUAAAUUACCUGAAUAUAUUUAACAAGUAGAGCGAUAACAUCCAUCCUCCCUGAACAUCCUCUUAAUUUGAGCACUAAAUAGAGGAGUCAUUAGUGAACAUUACAUGCAGGUGUUUUCGGUGGUAUUUACUAAAGAGUCUCCAGUUGCUACCCAUUAAGAGAAACUUUUAAAGUUAGACUACCAGAAGAAUGAUAAAAUGCACAGCAAGAGAAACCAUUUUUGACACUUUCGUUAUUUGAAGCAUAUAUCAAAAGCUGGAACUUUGCAUAGCAGUGGGUUUUGUUCCAUUGUGAAGGCUGAAAGUGCCAGGUGACAGUUUUCUGCUUGCAAAGUCAAAAUGUAAAUUACGGAGUCACUCCUGGGCUCUUAGGUAAUUCCUGAGGUAUACUCUGACAUACCUACUGUUUUUACAGUGCUGUGACAUCUAGGAAUGGGUGCUUUGAUUCUGCCAAAUUCUCCACGGAAAGGAUUUAUUUUUUGUUUUUAAUAAAAAUAGUAAAUAUUAAUUAAUAAAUAAUAAACUAAUAAAUAGUAAUGAUAAUAAAAUUGGAAUUUUUAAAUUCUAAAUUAUUUUGUAAAUUUUUGUUUUUGGCUUUUUUUUUAAGGGUUACACUUGCAGCAUAUGGAAAUUCCCAGGCUAGGAGUUGAAUUGGAGCUACAGCUGCCAGCCUACACCACAGCCACAGCAAUGCCAGAUCCGAGCCACAUCUGCCACUACACUACAGCUCAUGGCAACGCUGGACCCUUAACCCACUGAGCGAGGCCAGGGAUCGAACCUGUGUUCUCACAGAUCCUAGUUGGGUUCUUAAGCCACUGAGCCACAAUAGGAACUCCCUAAUUUAUUUUUCAAUUUAAGCGUAUUUAGUAAGCAAAGGUAGUUUCUGAGCAUGAACAUAAUUUGGGAAAAUAACUAAAUAGUUAUUAAACACUCACAAAAGAGCCCAAAUAAUCUCUUUGUGAAGGGUUCUCUCCUUGACAGAGAGUAAGAGCAUUAACUCUUUGUCUAUCUUGAAAUAGAAAAGCAGGUUAUUUUUUGUAAACAUUUUGAAGCAACAUUCUUCAUCCAUCUCAGACACUGGAGAGCAUAUUCAGAUUGAGGCAUGAAACCCACCACUUACUCAUUUAUUCAAAAACCAAUUCUUGGGCAACUAAUUAGCUGCAGGGAUAGUGCUAGACCCAUAGGUACAGAGAAAAGUCAGGGAUCUGAACAGGGACUAACGCCAUGGCAAGAGGAAAUAAAAGGCUGUGCACUGACAGAGGGAACCUCAGAGUGCUCUGGGCACACACCAGGAGACCUCCAUCCCAGGCAGCUCAGCUCAGCUUCCAGGAGACAUAAGUAGAUGUUUGUGGCAUGAGGAAGAGGAAGAGGGGAUUUUUAGGGAGAUGGGGGAACACAUAUUUACAAAGCCAGGAGGUGUGAGAGAACCUCAUACUUCGGGGAACUCCAAGAAUGUCAGGAGGACAAGUGGAUAGGAAUGAGGGCAGACAGGGCCAAGAGAAGUUGGCAAAGUCAGAUUAUGGGAAAUCUUAGGGAUGCUAAGAAGAAUGGGUAAAAUGUCGAAAGUAAGGGGAGAACAAAUGGAGAAUUGCAGGAGGUUGACAUACUCAGAUUUGCUCUUUUAAACGAUCCUCAGGGUGGUGUGAAGCAGUAGGUCUCAAUGGUGAUGCUUGGUCACAACUAGGGGAAAGGGGUCCUACUGGCAUCGAACGUGUCAAGGACAGGAAUACCACUAAAUAUCUUAUAAAGCGCAGGACAAGCCACUGGAACAAAUAAUUAAUUAUCCCAAGGUGGAGAAACCCUGGCAUGCAAGGCUGACUAAUGCCUGUGUCCCACCCCACCCCCAACAUGUUCAUGAUCUAAUUCAAGGAAUUUGUGAAUGUGUGUCCUUAAAAGGACAGAUGUGAUUAAAUUAAGGGUUGUGAAAUGAGAUGAUCCUGGCUUAUCAGAGUGACCCAACAUAAUCACAAGGGUCCUGAUUAGAGAGAGGCACAGGGUCAAAGACAGAAAAGGUAAUGUGAGGACGGAUCCAGUCACUGAGGGAGAUGGGGGUGAUGCCUUGGAAUCAGAAGAGGGAGCAGGGAGCCAAGGAAACAGGCAACCUCCAGAAACUUGAAGGUCCCCUACAGCCUCCAGAUGGAGCCAGUCAUGCUGACACCUUGACUUCAGGCCAGUGAGGCUGCUUUGGGACUUCUGACCUCUCAGAGCGAUGAGAGAAUACAUUUGUGUUGUGUUAAGCCACUAUCCAUGUGACACUGUUACAGCAGCAAUAGGAGAUUAAUAUAUGCUUUGGAGGACAGACAGACAGGAAGCGAAUCUUAAGGCAGAAUAAACAGUGAGAAGGUAUCAAUUCUGCCAGGCACCUGAGCACUGAAGAUACAACAGUGAUCCAGGCAGAGAAAAAAUUCUGUUCCCUUCAAAUUUAUAGGGCUUUGUGUGUGUGCAUGUUUUGUAUGUGUGAGUUCUUCCUAAAUUUCAGAAAAUAACCCUGAAUAAUGCUAACUUCCUUUCCUAAUCCAUUUUACAUCUUCUGACUUUUUCUGUCUUGACAGUUUUACUUUUGAUUUGAAUUUCUUAGUAUUUCACAUUAUGAACUGUACCUCCCCUGAACAAUGCAAGGUGUUGUAGUGUCAUAUAAUGUCUCUCUACAUUGUUUUCUAUUAACUUUGCUUAUAGUUUUAUUAUCAUGGAUUGAUUAUUACUCCCAAUGACCCACAGCACUAUUAUUAACCCAUUCUUGCCAUGUAUUCCUAUAAAAGAACAGACUUCACCACACCACUGUCAGGACUGGCCAUGGGCAACUUUUGAUCCAUUGAAUGCAAGUUCUCUUAUCUGAUUAUAAACUUGUGAGUGUGAAAUAAGGGGUCCACUGUUGGAAGCCACUGAGACUUUGGUAUGGUUUGUUAUGCCGUAUAUCCUCGGGAAAUCUGUCUAAAACAUUUAUGUUUACAUUUAGGCCUUUUAUCUAUGAUGCCAUCAUUGUUAUAUACAGGUAUCUGUUUGAUCUCUCGAUUCGGUUUCAUUGAUCUGUUCCCAUAUCAAUUCUAUACUAUUUUUGGUACUGAAAUAUUAUACUGUGUCUAAAUAUGAGUUCCCACUUUUAGUCUUACUUCUUAAAAUUACAUUAGCUUUGUAUUGUGAAAUUUCAAAUUAUAUUUAAAAUAGGUUUCAUGUUCUUCUGCAAAUUCUGCUGAGAUAUUGAUUACCUUGAGUUUAUAGAUAAACCUGGGAAACCAUUAAAAGCUUUACAAUGUUAACAUGACUUCUUUUAUGAAAGUCUCAUUUGAUUAACUUUAGAUAUCUUAUAAGUUCCUCUGUGAAGAUAUUGUGCUUUCUUCAUUGAUCUAAUUCCUAGGUCUUUCAUAGUUCAGACUGAUGUUUUUGAGUGGCCUAUUAUCCUCUCAUAUUUUUAGUUGGUUUUUACUGUGUAAGGUGUUGGACUCUGAUGUAAACAGUGUUCACCCAAUUAAGGAAGAGAAGAAAGUAUUAGCACUUCUAUAUAAAUGCUUAUUUUUUAUUUCAUUUUAACAUUUUAGUUUUUAGGUAAAUAGAACCUAAGUAUGAAUACAUUAAUUCUACAAUAAUAACAAUAGCUAAUUUUUAUUAGACACCAACUUUGUGCUAGUUACUAUUCAAAUGCUUUCCAAGUAUUAAUUCAUUCCAUCCUCACAAUAUCCAAAGUGAUCAUUUUUUAUCACUUUAUAGGCAAGAAAAAUGAGGCAGAGAGUGGUUAUAUAACUUGCCUAAGUUCACACAGGUGUAAGUUACAGAACCAAGAUUUGGAUCCAAGACAAUCUUACCCUUAGUCUCUAUGCGACGUGGUUCGCAAACUACAUUAUUGCACUUUAUAAAUAAAUAUUGGGUUCAUACUAGGCUCAUACAAUGAGUUGGCAUACUUUUUAAAGAUAAGGAUUAUAUGUUUCUUUAAAGUUUUACUUAUCAACUUUUAGAGGAACUAAUAUUUUGAGACUAGUGGUGUAGAAAAAUGCUAUUAAUCUUUAAUGUUUAUCUUGUAUCUGGCAAUUUCACUUAACUCUUUUAUUAUAUAAACUAACUAGCUCAUUCUCUUGGGUUUUUUAGUAGUCUUAUCAUUUACAAAUAAUGACAGUUUUAUCUCUUCCUUUCCAAUUCUUAUUAUUGCUAACUAUUUUCCUUGUCUUAUUGUGUUGGCUGGGCCUCCAGUACUACAUUGAAUAGUAGUGGUGAUAAAAGAUAUCCUUGCUUUGUUGAAUUAAAAAUUUCUUCAAUAAACACUAUCUAUCUGAGCCUUUUAAAUUAAUACUUUUAUCAAGUUAAAAACUCAUAUUUGCUCCCAGUUUUCUUAGUUUCUGUUGUUUUAUCAUUAAAUAAGUAUAAAAUUUACUAAAUGCUUUUUCUGUAUCUACUGAGAUGAUUUCUUUUUUAGUCCACUGUUGUGAUGAAUUACAAUUUGAUAACAGUUUUGAUCAGUAAGCCAUUGUACCACUCCCGAGGUAAUUCCUACAAGUUCACAUUGUAUUGUUUUAAUAGAUCAUGAAUUUAUUUGACUAAAAUUUUAUUUAGUAUCAUCUGUGUUCAGAGGUGGACUAUUUUCCUUUUUCUUUUGUAUUGUUCUUAUCUAGUUUUAAUAUGAAGAUAUUAAGCUCAUAAAAUGACUUGUGCAGUCUUAGUUUUUUCUGGAAAAGUUUGCAUGAGAUAAAAUUAUCUGCCUUUUAAAAUUUCGCUUAAACUUUAAGGUUCUUUAAACCCUAAAGGGCCUUAUUUCAACUAACUCAAAGGUAUUUAGUUACCAGGAGUUCCCCUCAUGGCUCAGCAGUCAACAAACCACUACAAACCAUGAAGUUGCAGGUUCAAUCCCUGGCCUUGCUCAGUGGGUUAAGGAUCUGGCGUUGCUGUGAGCUGUGGUGUAGGUUGCAGACAAGGCUCAGAUCCUGCACUGCUGUAGUGUAGGCCAGAGGCUACAACUCCAAUUAGACCUAUAGUCUGGGAACCUCCAUAUGCUGUGGGUGCGGCCC